GUAAUAUGUUUGCAAGGCUCAGCCUAAGACUAAUCAGUUUUUUUUUUAAUUUCUUUGAAGAAUUCAGUAAGAUGAACAGCUAAACGUCAGCAACUUUAAGAUUUCAAAUUUCAAUUAACAAAUGGGUUUUCAGGUGAACGAGUGAAACUAGUAAACAAACAUAUAGGCGAUAUGUCAUAUGCCCGAAUAAAUGACGGUUGUCCCAGCACAGCGACAAUCGCUUUAUCUAAUAUUGAUAUUCCACUGAAACCCCUUGUCCAGAAGAACUAUUAUAAACAAUAUACUGAAAGGUUUCUUAUAACAGUUUCCCAUGGCCAGGAUCUAUUUGUAUCACAAUUUAUUGAAGAGAAAACUUAUCUGCUUUCUUUGGGUGAGUCUUUCACUUUCAAGAAUGUUGCUCCAGACUUUCAAAUUAAAAUACAACUAUUCUACAUCAGAUUGAAAAAUAAACAAAAGAUUAUUAACUGGAAACGGUUGCUGAAGCCAUCAAAGUCCAAAAUAAUUUACCAAGACCAUAUAGAUAACCAGUUUUAAGAAAAAGAAGUUUUCCAUACGUCUUUUCAACUAUGCGCAAAGAUGACACUCACCAGGGACUAUAUUGACACGAGCUCCUCAACCCUCAUUGCUUAUCCCAAAGUUUUUCCUAGACUAAAUAGAAAAAUCCAAUACUACGUGCAAUGUAACAUUGAUACCAAAGCGAACCUAGGUGGAUUAUUAGAUGUGGGAACUAAGAAAAGAGACGUAAUAUUUUGGUGCACUAGGUACUGCAUAUUGAACGGAAAUGACCUCUGGAUCUACGCUGAUCCAAAUGACUGGCAGUUCGGUAGGAAGCCAAUUGAAAUUAUUAACUUGAGUUUUUGUUUAGGACCGAUUGUGAGAAAGAUUAACAAUUGUUCGAGGCCAAGAUGUUUUUAACUGACAACUGCCAGGCCGAAGAUAAAUCGCGAAAAGCCGCCGUUAGGUCAAAACCGAAUUUUAUUUAGAAACGGUUUAAUUUUUGUGCCAGAACGAAAAGCGAAUAUGACGAAUGGACGAGUCAACUGGAGAACUUAUAUCAGUCGUUAAUGCUUUUUAAAAAGUUAUAUUUCGAUCAGGAAUAUGAAGAAUAUUAUAAGAGUUUCAUGCAAAAUUAACUUUUUUAGUUGCAAAAAAGAAAUG